UACGGAGGGUGCAAGCGUUGUCCGGAUUUAUUGGGUUUAAAGGGUGCGUAGGCGGUCUUUUAAGUCGGGUGUGAAAGCCCAGGGCUCAACCCUGGAAGUGCACUCGAAACUGAUUGGCUUGAAUAUGGAAGAGGGUUGCGGAAUUCCCGGUGUAGAGGUGAAAUUCGUAGAUAUCGGGAGGAACACCAGUGGCGAAGGCGGCAACCUGGGCCAAUAUUGACGCUGAGGUGCGAAAGCGUGGGGAGCAAACAGG
rnacentral:rRNA from 1 species